rnacentral:rRNA from 1 species
GGUCAAGUAAGUAAGGGCAGACGGUGGAUGCCUUGGCGCCAGGAGGCGACGAAGGACGUGGGUAGCUGCGAAAAGCUUCGGGGAGCCGCUAACCAGGCUUUGAUCCGAAGAUUUCCGAAUGGGGAAACCCGGCCGGGGUCAUGCCCGGUCAUCCCGUACUGAAUCCAUAGGUACGGGAAGCGAACUCGGGGAACUGAAACAUCUCAGUACCCGAAGGAACGGAAAUCAACCGAGACUCCCUCAGUAGCGGCGAGCGAACGGGGAAUAGCCUAAACCGGUGGGAAGAAAUUCCUGCCGGGGUCGUGGGACUCCGACGUGGGACUCGAGCGGGUAGCCGAACGGUCUGGAAAGGCCGGCCGAAGAGGGUGAUAGCCCCGUACGCGAAACUCGAUCGAGCCCUAGGAGUAUCCCGAGUACCUCGGGGCACGUGAAACCCUGUGGGAAUCUGGGUGGACCAUCAUCCAAGGCUAAGUACUACCUGGCGACCGAUAGUGAACCAGUACCGUGAGGGAAAGGUGAAAAGAACCCCGGCGAGGGGAGUGAAAUAGACCUGAAACCGUUUGCCUACAUCCAGUAGGAGCCCUAUGGCGACACUUCGGUGUCGCAAAGGGUGACUGCGUACCUUUUGUUUAAUGGGUCCGCGAGUUACUCCUCAGCAGCAAGGUUAAGCCGACAGGUGUAGCCGAAGCGAAAGCGAGUCUGAACAGGGCGUAUAGUUGCUGGGGGUAGACCCGAAACCGGGUGAUCUAUCCAUGGCCAGGGUGAAGCUCGGGUAAGACCGAGUGGAGGCCCGAACCGUAGAAGGUUGAAAACUUCCCGGAUGAGCUGUGGAUAGGGGUGAAAGGCCAAUCAAACCCGGAGAUAGCUGGUUCUCCCCGAAAUAUAUUGAGGUAUAGCCUCGCGUGAUCACUACCGGGGGUAGAGCACUGGAUGGGCUAGGGGUCCUACCAGAUUACCGAACCCAACCAAACUUCGAAUACCGGUAAGUGCAGCGCGGGAGUCAGACUACGGGCGAUAAGGUUCGUGGUCGAAAGGGAAACAGCCCAGAUCGUCGGCUAAGGUCCCAAAAUCCAUGCUAAGUGGGAAAGGAUGUGGGAGCGCUCAGACAGCCAGGAGGUUGGCUUAGAAGCAGCCAUCCUUUAAAAAGUGCGUAAUAGCUUACUGGUCUAGUGAGCCCGCGCCGAAAAUGUAACGGGGCUCAAGCAUGGUACCGAAGCCACGGGCUCAUGACGCCUUCGGGUGUCGUGAGCGGUAGGGGAGCGUUCCAGUCGCCUUUGAAGCUCGACGGAAACGACGGGUGGAGGUCCUGGAAGUGCUUAUGCGGACAUGAGUAGCGAUAAAGGCGGUGAGAAACCGCCUCGCCGUAAGCCUAAGGGUUCCUGAGUAAAGCUAAUCUGCUCAGGGUUAGUCGGCCCCUAAGCCGAGGGCGAAAGCCGUAGGUGAUGGGAAACGGGUUAAUAUUCCCGUACCACUAGAUGAACGUUCGACCGAAGGGGGGACGGAGAAGGGUAGCCGGGCCGGGUGCUGGACAUCCCGGUUCAAGCCUGUAGGCGGGUGGCGUAGGCAAAUCCGCGCCGCCAUUCAACGCCGAGAGGUGAUGCCGAGAGCCGUAAGGCUCACAAAGUCGGUGAUCCCAUGCUUCCAAGAAAAGCCUCGUAGGGAGUUUAUCUGGUGACCGUACCGCAAACCGACACAGGUAGGCGGGCAGAGCAUGCCAAGGCGCUUGAGAGAACUCUGGUUAAGGAACUCGGCAAAUUGACACCGUAACUUCGGGAGAAGGUGUGCCCUCGCCGGUGACGGAACUUGCUUCCCGAGCCGGUUGGGGUUGCAGAGAGCAGGGGGUAGCGACUGUUUACUAAAAACACAGGACUCUGCGAACUCGUCAGAGGACGUAUAGGGUCUGACGCCUGCCCGGUGCCGGAAGGUCAAGGGGAUCUGUUAGCUUCUUCGGAGGCGAAGCGGUGAACCGAAGCCCCGGUAAACGGCGGCCGUAACUAUAACGGUCCUAAGGUGAACACGUCGCCUUAGUAAAACCGAACCAUAUGCGGGGACCUCCUCCACAGCCGUACGGUACUCGUCGGUGAACUACCGGCAGUAACAAUCUGACGGACAUGGGGACAAUCCGCAGGGAAGGCCCAGCUGCGCUGGGAACCCUCAGAGACUUGAUGUUCGGGGCUGUUUGAUGGAUCUCGAAGCUCAAUGGAUCGUCGGCUUCGUGGACGGUGAAGGCUGCUUUCACGUCGGGAUCAAUCCGCAUCCCGAGAUGAAGACGGGCUAUCAGGUUCUUCCUGAGUUCACCGUCGUGCAGCACGAGCGUGAUGUGCAGGUCCUGCACGCGCUGAAGGCCUACUUCGGCUGCGGCGUGGUUCGAAGGAACCACGGCGACCGGAUGGCCUACCGCGUACGCGGGAAGGAGCACCUGCUCCAGCGCAUCAUUCCAUUCUUCGAGAAACACCCGCUCAAGACCAGAAAGCGAGUGGACUUCGCCAAGUUUCGGCGAAUCCUCUUGCUCAUGGAGGCGGGGGAGCAUCUGACCCGCGAAGGCGUCGAGGAAGCUCGCCGCAUCGCCGGCCAGAUGAACCGAGGACAGUCAAGGUAAAGUCCGGCCCUUCCGGAAACGGUUGGGAGCAACCGAGCGAAAUUCCUUGUCGGGUAAGUUCCGACCUGCACGAAUGGCGUAACGACUUCCCCACUGUCUCAACCAGGGACUCAGCGAAAUUGAAUUGCCGGUGAAGAUGCCGGCGACCCGCAGCAGGACGGAAAGACCCCGUGCACCUUUACUACAGCUUCGCAGUGAUCGUCGGUUCAGGAUGUGUAGGAUAGGUGGGAGGCUUUGAAGCCGGGACGUCAGUCUCGGUGGAGCCAACCUUGAAAUACCACCCUUUUUGCGCUGCCGAUCUAACCUGGGUCCGUCAUCCGGAUCGGGAACACUGCGUGGUGGGUAGUUUGACUGGGGCGGUCGCCUCCCAAAGAGUAACGGAGGCGCGCAAAGGUUCCCUCAGGCUGAUUGGAAACCAGCCGUAGAGUGCAAAGGCAUAAGGGAGCUUGACUGCGAGACCUACAAGUCGAGCAGGUGGGAAACCAGGUCUUAGUGAUCCGGUGGCUCCGCAUGGAAGGGCCAUCGCUCAUCGGAUAAAAGGUACGCCGGGGAUAACAGGCUGAUCUCCCCCAAGAGUUCACAUCGACGGGGAGGUUUGGCACCUCGAUGUCGGCUCGUCACAUCCUGGGGGUGAAGCAGCUCCCAAGGGUUCGGCUGUUCGCCGAUUAAAGUGGCACGCGAGCUGGGUUUAGAACGUCGUGAGACAGUUCGGUCCCUAUCCGCCGUGGGCGCAGGAGAUUUGAGGGGAUCUGUCCCUAGUACGAGAGGACCGGGAUGGACGAACCCAUGGUGUGCCGGUUGUCGCGCCAGCGGCACUGCCGGGUAGCUAAGUCCGGAUGGGAUAACCGCUGAAAGCAUCUAAGUGGGAAGCCCACCCCAAGAUGAGAUCUCCCCGAGACUUCGGUCUCCUGAAGGGCCGUCCGAGACGAGGACGUCGAUAGGCCGGAGGUGGAAGCGCAGCAAUGCGCGGAGCUGACCGGUACUAAUCGCCCGUGAGGCUUGACCAC